CCUGCGGAGAGCGAACACACAGCAUGUAGAAAGCGCGAGGACUCAGGAAUGCGUCGGAGGCACUGGAGGGCUUCCCACUAACAGGCAGGGCAGAUAAGAAAGUUCCUCGGAACCCCUGCUGGGCAGGGCAGCCGCAGCUGGUUUGGAAAAACGCAUGAAUGACAACUGCAAGGGAGCCAUGAAGUGGGCGUGUCUCGGCAAUGUUGGGCCACGCCCACUACACGCGCCAGCGGCCGCCCCCGUUCUGCCACCCUAGCUGUGUCCCUGGGAGGCUGUGUGGUGGUGCGGUUACUAGCCAUGUACCUUCGGAGACAGCAACGACAUCAUAAAGCUACACAAGGCGAACCCACGGGAAGGAAGAAUCUUAUUUUUACGUGGCCUACUCACCUAGCAAUGCGAUUGUUGUCUGUCUUCCGGACCCUGCGGAUUGCCGUGACGUUGGCCCGCAUGAGGUAGUGCUGAGCUAAAUCUGUAAACCCAAGAGCAGAGGGGUCAAGAGGGAGGCCAGAACUCCUGGGCUCCGACCUGGCUGCAUCCUCGAUGCACACUAACUACCACGUUCACCCUGCCGUCUCUGCCAACCUGUCCACCCUCUUCUACCUCAAUAAGAGGUUGGAAAGACGAACAGAGUCCUACCCGAGAUGCCCUUUUCUGUGAUGACCACAUCGGGCUUCAGGUGGAUGAUGUCCUCACACAGCUGCUGGAUGUACUCUUCUUCCAUUUGGAGGAUCCGGGUGAAGUCUUCCUCUCGUGUGAUCUCAAUGUCCGUCUGCGUGGUGAAGAAAAGUCACAGACUUAAAAUCUCAGACGUGCCCAGUAUCAGGCCCCUCUACCGAGUCCCUCAUGCACCCCAGAAGUGAGUCAGAGUCCUGCUGAAGCCAGGAGCCCACGCCUCUGUAAGCUAGUUUAACUCAAGAACUCCAGCUGAACUCCUUCACUGAAGUACUCCUCAACUAGGAUUCAAAGUCAAAGGCCAUCAGUGGAGAUUUUGGCCUAAGGUCUCUGACCACUCAGUACGACAUUACAUCUACCCUGCAUGGUAACUCUGGGUCUUAAUUCUUCCCACCAAUAAACUAAAUCUUCUUCCCAA